rnacentral:sRNA from 1 species
UCUUUUUUUUUUACAUCGAAAAAGAAAUUAUCUGUAUAUAUUAUCUCUAAUUGACGGGAACAGAAGUCCAAAAACUUAGUUCUGAAUCCAUCGGAGACUCCGAUCUAAAUCCCGAAUCAGUCUGUACCUGUUUUUGCCCUUCGCCAUCACGCACGCACGGGUUCGUAUUUGUCUUUGAAUGUUCUAAAUCUCUCUCUGAAUUAUCCUUAAUGCCUGUGUGCUUUGCUCAAAUCUAUAUAUUUUUUUCCUCUCUCUCUCUCUCUGCUUCUCUUGCUUCCAUUCAAUUUUGUGUUUGUAACAUUCUGUGUAAUCCAGCAGUUGAAUUAUUCGAGCGUAAAGCACAAACCUUUUAACCAAUCCAAAAUUUUGAGAAAGCUUGAACCUUUAGUUUAUCGGCCGUCUCUGACCAUCUUUUGUUUCCUGAAACAAUUUCAAUUCCGG